UUUGAAUAAGAGAAUUACAAUUUGGGAAAAACCCUCAUCUUCUAACCUCUUACCUUAUGUGUUCAACCCACGGAUUAUUUUUCCAACAUGGACAGAUAUGUGAGGAACCGGCUGAUGUAUUCAAAACAUUGAUAUACCUGAGCCUCCUCCACCACUGGUGGUUUGAUUGAAAGAGCAGGGACGAUGCGGUACACCCGUGACAAGAAGAAGAACUCCACAAUGAGAGACACAAGGUUCCAGCCCAGGAUGAAACCACAGCCAACUACAUUAGAGGCCAGGGUCAUGACCUGUCCCACUGCUAGUGGGGCCAGGAUGUUAGUCACCUGAUCUAUCCGCCUCAUGGUUGCAUUCAUUCCUUUUGUUAGGAUCAAAGACACAGAGGUUAGUGGGCUUCCACUAGAGGACUUUCAGCAAGAGCAGAAACGGACCGAUGUCUGAUACUCUCUGCAAUUCAAGUGUUUUUCAUGUUCUACCAGUAAUGCAAGCCUGUGACAAACAUGGAAUACAAGCCAAUAUGUGCAUUGACAGAAUGAAUCCCCUCACCAGCUAGGUGACCUCGGUUGUAGCCUGUGAUAACCACGAUCCAGUCCCUCUGAAUGGCAAUGGUCAGUGCUGUGCUUGCAAGGUUUGCCACAUCUGCCAGGACGAUCACCACCGUAUAACAAACCACCUUGUGUAAGUUUUGCGAUGCAACAUGUUACUAUGACAGUACAGAGUAAGCCACAAGCUCAGAAGCAGAGACAACAGGGACACAGGACAAAGAGGAAAAACAGCAGCAAUAACUCCUCUGUGUAAUAAUCAUGGAAGCCAGGGUGGAACCAUGUGCAGGUCCAGCAGGGGAGUUAGGAUCGCCUCUAGAUUUCCAAACAUGGAGGACAAGCCGAGGCUGAAGAGCAUGACAAAGAACAGCACCGCCCACACCUGAGAGCCUGGCAUGUUUAUCACAGCCUCAGUAAACACAAUGAAGGCCAGUCCGGUUCCAGAGGCGCUCUACAGUCCCUCCAGGGAAGCGGACUUUGAAAAGAGUGGAAGAAGUACCAGAGGAUCCAGGCCAAGAUCAUGUUGUAGAAGAGACCAACAAGGAAGGAUACUACCAUGGACGCCACACCUGUGUAUACACAUUAUUCACCAAGAAAUGUAUGUGUGUUAUGGAUGGCAGUGACCUCAAGGUAAUAUAGACGUUUUGCAUAACUUAAUGUUGGACAGUAAAUUAAAAAUUUUUUGGCAUCUUGCUUUUUUGUUAGCAACACACUAGUUCAGUGAAACCAAACCUUCUCACCUAAACCUCCCAGAUAUGGGGAAAUUGAAUUCCACACUCCAACACUUCCCAUGCGGAGCCUUUGUCCGAUGGCCAGUUCCAUGUGCAGCAGGGGAAGUCCCUCAAACACCAAGGCAAUGACAUAAGGAAUCAGAAAUGCCCCUUGAAAUAAAGCACAUUUAUAAGCGAUGACAUGGUCAUAAAUGACAAAAAUAAACAUGACUUUUUCAGUAGGCAUUAGCAUUGCUUUUAUGGUUGAAGGUCAUUCAGUUCUCUAUUACUGGACAUUUUAUUAUCAACAAUCAGCGUUAUCACACUCACUCAUACCAAGCAGUAUGUCUUGUUUUCAUCAUUUGACUAGUCCACUUUAUAUUUUGGGCACUGCUGUAUGUAGCAGUAAAAAUAUUUUGUGCUGUUUGUUUAAUGGAUUAAUAAAGUGUCCAUUUUGUAUAACAGAACUAUCCAAAUAGGAAUUAUCUCAGAUCAGUCACAGCUGUGAAUAAAAUAUAAGCACUGACAUUUUACAAGAAAUAAACGUGCUCAGUCACAUAA